GUAGAUUGUAGCUGCGACUGCUCAAAUUUGAUGAGAAAAAUUUGCACAGUUCCAUCAGUAAUUGAGGAGGUAAUGUGCUCCUCAGAGUAUUGUGCGAACCAAUUCACUGAGAGAAGACUGUCAGUUUUAUCAGUGGUAUUCGACAGAGCUGCGGAUGAGUGCUUCAGGAGGCUGAGCGGAUAUUUGGAGGAUGGAGAUAUCGAGGAUCAGCAUCUAUGUUUGAUGGAAUUGGAGCUCCCCUCAGAUAAGAACGACGUGUCACCAAACGCCUUCAUAUAUGAUGCAGAUAUAUCCAAAAAGGGACCACUAUGUUCUGGAUUGACUAGUCGACGAGCACGAAGUGGACCUCAUCUAUUCAUAGAGGUCAUUGGAAGUGAGGAGAACCUUCCGGGUGACGGAGGUGACGUUGGAGUGAUGGAGGUGGUAAAAUGCUGUCUAAAAGAUGUGCGAACUGAGUUGGUCUACAAGGGAAACAACUACACCCUGCGAGGGAUUGUCACUUUCACACCGCCGGCACGCACCACCGAUAUUGGACACUUCCAGGGAUAUGCAAGAAGAUGUGACUCAACAUGGGAGCUUCGAAUAUGAUCCAAAGAUGGUGGACUGCUUCAAAAAGAAUCUAGAACACUUCGAUAUUUUCGCCAAUGAUUGUGCAAUCAAAUCGGAGAGCGAGCUGUACAAGUCAGUGGUGAGUUUGCUGGAGUCGGUUGACACGCACAGCACCGACGAGCACAAGACGGGAGGGGUGUUUGGGGCGGAGGACGGCCACUACUUCCUCGACCUUGACAUGGCCGUUUUGGGCGGCGACAGCGAGUACUAUGCCACCGAGUAUGCCACCAACAUACAGGCCGAGUACGACUUCCUGCCUGAACCAAUGUACAAGGGCCUUAGACUCAAGGUGCUUCAAAGCUUUCUACAGAUACCAAAUAUAUUUGCAACCAAAGAAUUCAGGGAGAAAUACGAGGAGCAAGCCAGAGCUAACAUACAAAAAGAAGUUGAAAAGCUAAAAUAAAUGUAUUUCUUAUCGGUAUUUCAACUUUUCUAAUCAAAUUUGUGCAAUUGAUUGAAGUCUCAUAUCAAAGUUGAGAUAGAAUAAAAAUUCUAUUCAUUGUAUAUUUUUAUAUGCCUAAUAGUGUACUUAUUAGGUAUGGUGAAAUAAUGAGAGGAGUCAGCUUGUACGUGUUGAACUUGAAUUAAAUUCAAUUGUUUUGCUUAAUGCUUA